rnacentral:rRNA from 1 species
ACCAGGCCUUGACAUGCAGAGAACUUCCAGAGAUGGAUUGGUGCCUUCGGGAACUCUGACACAGGUGCUGCAUGGCUGUCGUCAGCUCGUGUCGUGAGAUGUUGGGUUAAGUCCCGUAACGAGCGCAACCCUUGUCCUUAGUUACCAGCACGUUAUGGUGGGCACUCUAAGGAGACUGCCGGUGACAAACCGGAGGAAGGUGGGGAUGACGUCAAGUCAUCAUCGGCCCUUACGGCCUGGGCUACACACGUGCUACAAUGGUCGGUACAAAGGGUUGCCAAGCCGCGAGGUGGAGCUAAUCCCAUAAAACCGAUCGUAGUCCGGAUCGCAGUCUGCAACUCGACUGCGUGAAGUCGGAAUCGCUAGUAAUCGUGAAUCAGAAUGUCACGGUGAAUACGUUCCCGGGCCUU